UACGUAGGGGGCAAGCGUUGUCCGGAUUUAUUGGGCGUAAAGAGCGUGUAGGCGGCUAGACAGGUCCGCUGUGAAAACUCGAGGCUCAACCUCGAGACGUCGGUGGAAACCGUCUGGCUAGAGUCCGGAAGAGGAGAGUGGAAUUCCCGGUGUAGCGGUGAAAUGCGCAGAUAUCAGGAGGAACACCGGUGGCGAAGGCGGGUCUCUGGGCCGAUACUGACGCUGGAGGAAGCGAAAGCGUGGGGAGCGAACAGG
rnacentral:rRNA from 1 species